UAGAUUUUCAAGAUGGGAAAAUCAUAUUGCAACCCACAGGCAUUUGGAAACAAUUUGUGCCGAAGACAGAAAGUACACCUAACGUUAAGCUGAAAAAACUGGACGCUCCCAGCAAACUCACUUUGCAGAUUCCUGGAUGUCAGAAGAAAAUGCCAGAGGAUUUCACUUGGCAUUGACCCCUUACUACUUCCAGCCACUUACCCUGGACAGUAGAAAGAAGGAACAGAAAGCAGGGUAGCUUAAGAGGAGUAAGUACCAAUGGCUGUGGGACUUCAAAUCACCACCUAAGAUUACUUCUUUGAUUUCUGAAAAAGUAGGUCAAAGGAAGACAUCAGGGCUUUGUUACAGGGUCAACUUCUCGGUGCAUGGCUCCUUCCAGUCUGAUAAGAACCAUCCCUCAGCCUUCAGACGAACAGGUCCAGCUGUGCUCAAGCAGCAGCUGUAUCUCUUUAUCAGAGAGCUGCCGUCGGUCCAGAAACUAUUUUGAUAGUGCAAUAAUGAAGAUUGACUUCCUUCUAGAAAUGACAGUCUUUAACUGGUGAAUGACAGGUGAGAGGAGGUGUAAAUACUCCAGCUUCCUUG
rnacentral:lncRNA from 1 species